rnacentral:rRNA from 1 species
GACGAACGCUGGCGGCGUGCUUAACACAUGCAAGUCGAACGGACAGGCCCUGCUUUUGUGGGGUGCUCGAGUGGCGCACGGGUGAGUAACACGUGAGUAACCUGCCCUUGACUUUGUGAUAACUUCAGGAAACUGGGGCUAAUACCGGAUAGGAGCUCCUGCUGCAUGGUGGGGGUUGGAAAGUUUCGGCUGUUGGGGAUGGACUCGCAGCUUAUCCGCUUGUUGGUGUGGUAGUGGCUUACCAAGGGUUUGACGGGUAGCCGGCCUGAGAGGGGGACCGGGGACAAUAGGACUGAGAGACGGCCCAGAAUGCUACGGGAGGCAGCAGGGGGGAAUAUGGCACAAUGGGCGGAAGUCAGAGGCAGCAACGCCGCGUGCGGGAUGACGGCCUUCGGGGUGUAAACCGCUUUCGCCUGAGACGAAGCGUGAGUGACGGUAAUGGGUAAAGAAGCAACGGCUAACUACGUG